UCUGGGGUAUGACUGUUUAUGAUUUAGAAUUUAGUACGGUCUGUUGGUUUGUGUUCAUUUGAGAGAGGUGGGGACAGUGUGUGAGUGUGUAUUUCACACUAGUGUGUUAGAAGUCCAUCUGCUAGUUUGUAGAAAGACUGAGGAGAGGCAGAUUCAUUCCUUCCAUGUUCUCUUCAUCACUCAGAGGUCUCAUAUGGAUGGGUCAGGAGGGGGGGGGUCAGAGGUCUCAUAUGGAUGGGUCAGGAGGGGGGUCAGAGGUCUCAUAUGGAUGGGUCAGGAGGGGGGGUGUCAGAAGUCUUAUAUGAAUGAAUAUUACAGUAUAAAGAAUGGUAUAUAAGCACAUUGUUCCACAGAGAGAGAAGUGUAGUGAGUAAAGUGGAUGAC